rnacentral:rRNA from 1 species
CAGCCGCCGCGGGAAUACGAAGGGUGCAAGCGUUACUCGGAAUUACUGGGCGUAAAGCGUGCGUAGGUGGUGGUUUAAGUCCGUUGUGAAAGCCCUGGGCUCAACCUGGGAAUUGCAGUGGAUACUGGGUCACUAGAGUGUGGUAGAGGAUAGUGGAAUUUCCGGUGUAGCAGUGAAAUGCGUAGAGAUCGGAAGGAACAUCUGUGGCGAAGGCGACUAUCUGGGCCAACACUGACACUAAGGCACGAAAGCGUGGGGAGCAAACAGGAUUAGAUACCCCGGUAGUCCCUGUCUCUUAUAC